GGUGAGUUAUUGCCAUAUGUUCAGUUUAACCUAUGCUAUUACUAGUAAUUACCUAUUUGACUUCCAAAUCUAGUGAAGGCAUACCCAGAAGCCAGAACUAGCUGAAGUAUGCAACUGAACCAAUGAUAUUUCUGUCAACGAGGUGUCAUUCACCCAUUCUUUUGGCACAAAACCUAAUUAUUAAAAGAGUCACUCGCUCUUGGUAGUGCUCUUUGUCAACACAACACCCUACGAAUUUGCUGGCUUCUGCCAAAAUUUUCUGUCCACUUUGUUUUUUUUUUCUUUUCAGGAUUCAGGACACCUGUACUUUAUAGUGGUUCCAUAAGUAACCCUUGUGAUUUCCGUUGAGCAUUUUCUUUGGGUUCGAUGUUUUUUAAAGUAUUUAAAAUUUCUACUUCAUUAUUUUCGAUAAAUUCAUGGCACAGUUUUAAGCACAUAAUUGUUUUUUUUAAAAAAUAAGUAGCAGGAGCUCUGCUAUUCAUAUAAGAUCGGAGAAGGGUUUCAAAAACAUAGGUAGGUUAAGCACAUAAUUGUUGAUCAGUUAUUUUGGGGCAAAUAUUCUAUUUAUUUGGGAAACAGUAUUUCAUUUCAUUCAUAAGUUGUUUCCCUGUCUGAUUUAUCGUUUAAAAUGACCCUUCACAUCAUGAUUUGUUAUUCAGCAACACUUGUCUGUCGUGGUCUUUCCACUUGGCGGUACUUUAGAAAUCUUGCAUGUUGAGUGGGCUGGCUGGAAAGUGCCGGUCUAUUUCUACUUAAUUUGACUUGGGAAACUCUGCAUGCCCAAUGUGCUGGAAAGUGUAUAUCAGAGCUUACUACUGUGCCUGCAAAAGUAUGUUGGCAGGACCUUAGGAUCUCCACUACGAUAUAUUAUUAAAGCACAGUUGUUUUUAAAGAUCAUCAUACAAAAUACAUCUGGACAUACUAUGUAGAUCACUUUAUGCUCUGAUUGGCUGAAGUAAGACUUUGGGUAAUUGUUAUGUUUACAGGAACUCUUAUUUCUGAUGGUGUUUCUUGCUAUGCCAUUUUCAGGUUAGGACAGUCCUUGACAUAGAAUGUGGAUUUGGUACCUUUGGGGCGCAUCUUUUUGAGAGAGAUCUCUUGACCAUGUGCAUUGCUAACUAUGAAGCAUCAGGUAGCCAAGUCCAAAUUACACUGGAGAGAGGCAUUCCUGCAAUGAUUGGUUCAUUUGCAACGAAGCAGCUUCCGUAUCCCUAUCUUUCCUUUGAUAUGGUGCAUUGUGCUAAAUGCAAUAUCGAAUGGUACAAAAACGGUAUGUGUGAAAGUCUUCUUUCACAUGCCCUGGCCCUCAUUGACGAUUAUAAUGUUAUUCAGCAAUGUCUUAAGUUGGCACUUCACAUAUAAAGAUCGGUACAUGCCUAGCUGAAUAUUAAAUAUUUAAGGAUAUACAGUUGUGGGUGACUUUUGGUUGACUUGUAACCCUUGUCACUGCAAACUUUGCAUGCAUCUGAUUUCUGCAAAGACACAUUUAUGGUAAUUUGGCUAUAAAGUAGUAUCUCUUACAGUCUUACUAAAUAUGUAAACGUUGUUUUCUCUGUAAUUCUGCAGAUGGCAUUUUCUUGGUUGAAGUGAACAGGCUUUUGAGGCCUGGUGGAUAUUUUGUAUGGACAUCGAAUUUGAAUACACAUAGGGCCUUGCGAGACAAAGAAAACCAAAAGAAAUGGACAGCCAUUCGUGACUACGCUGAGGGCCUUUGUUGGGAGAUGCUGUCACAACAAGAUGAGACAAUUGUAUGGAAAAAGACGAAUAAAAGGGAAUGUUACAAAUCAAGGUAAUGUAGUGCUUAUCAACAACUACAAACUUUAUAAUAACAGAUAUUUAGUCUAGUGGUGAACUUACAGUGUUGUUUUACAGAAAAUUUGGGCCUGAGCUAUGUGGCCAUGAUCCAGAAUCACCAUACUACCAACCACUAAGCCCCUGCAUAUCAGGCACAAGAAGUCAGCGUUGGAUCCCCAUUGAACACCGUACCACCUGGCCAUCUCAGGCUAGGCAAAACUCAACAGAACUGGACAUACAUGGUAAGUAUUUGACUAAAUAAUACAAUUGAAAAAACAAGCAAACAAAUCAACGAAAUUUAAAAUAUGUUAGUGUCUUAAUGUUCAAAUGCUUGUCUGUGUUACAUUAAGAACCCUCUAAUUCAACAGGUGUGCAUUCAGAAGUCUUCGCUGAUGAUAAUUCAAGCUGGGACUCCAUGGUGCGAAACUACUGGUCUUUGCUAUCCCCACUUAUAUUUUCAGACCAUCCAAAGAGACCUGGUGAUGAAGACCCACAACCACCAUUUAACAUGCUAAGGAAUGUUUUAGAUAUGAAUGCUCAUUUUGGUGGAUUUAAUGCUGCUUUACUGAAGUCUGGAAAGUCUGUAUGGGUGAUGAAUGUUGUUCCUACAAAUGCCCCAAAUUAUCUACCACUAAUAUUUGACCGUGGUUUUAUUGGGGUUCAACAUGAUUGGUAAGUAGUAGUACAUGAUCUUUUGUCCUUUGUUGAUUUGAAUUUGUUUUACCCUUUUUUGUUUCAGGUGAGUGCUCUGGUAAUGCUAAAUCUUGAACUACCUUACUUGACAAAGUUUUCCAAACUAAACUUCAUAUGCAUAGUCAGUCAUAACUUGGAAAUGUUAAUACAUGCAAAUUUUAGGCAUAUGGAAAGUUGUUGAUAUAGAGGAAUUAGAGCAUCCUCAAUUUCACAUAAUUUUAUUAGAGUACAUGGAGAUUGAUGCAUAAUCAAAGUAUCAAUUUGAUAGACAACUUUCGGCAUAUCAAUCUUUGGAUCAUCCUCCAGUUAAAUGAUCGAUGGAUGGACAUGUGUUAGGUGUGACGCAUUUGCAACUUACCCAAGAACAUAUGAUAUGGUGCAUGCUGAUGGCUUUCUAUCACUUGAGAAGACCCACAAGCAUAGAUGUUCUACUCUUGACAUAUUCUUGGAAGUUGAUCGCAUCCUACGACCAGAGGUAAUGAAAAUUUGGUUAAUGACACUGAUUUGGAAUCCAUUAUUCAGCCGUGAAUCAUGUCUAUAAUUCAUUUCAAGGUUCUUGGAAGCAUGUAGAACAUAAGGCCUAACACUGCACUGUUUCUGGGUAUUCAUGAUUCUAAUUUCUAAACGGUACAAUCCGUAAAAUGGUUCAUAUGGUGCCAUUCUAAUUAGUGUUGCUUUUUAAAACAAUAAGUAUUUUUUUUCUUGAUUGCACCAUAUGGAAAGAGCCAGGGACAUUCAUAAAAAUAGUACAUUUAGCUUGGUUUAGUUUUUUUAAUAAACUGUCGCUCGUGUAUGGCCAUAUACUUUGGUACAGCUAUCUUUGUGAUCAUGGGCUAUGGGGACUCUACUAGUGCAGAGGUUUGUCAUUAGGUUUUGCAAUGGGAAAGAAAGAUACCCUAUCCCUAUGCUAUACUACAUUUAUUUACUGUACAAGUAUGAUGCACAAUUGCCAUUUACCCAUGAUGAAGGAAUGCGGCAGAAUUAUCAGACUAGUCUUGCACUGCAUACUUCCACACGUGUGGAGCUGUACGCAUCUGUCUCCAGUCGUAAGAUUAUUUUAUAUAAGUGUUGUCUAAUUUUUUUCCUGCUUGUUUGAUGUUGAUGUAGG
rnacentral:lncRNA from 1 species